rnacentral:misc_RNA from 1 species
GUAGGUGAACCUGCGGAAGGAUCAUUAUCACGUAUUAUCCACGUUAUAAACCCUUUCUUUGAACUGUUUUCAACUUUGGUAAAUUGGGGUGUUUAUCACUCCAGCUUAUCAUAGUAUUACUUUUCUUAUCAAAUUUAUUUUUGAUAAGAAAUCAUUAACAAUAUUAACCCAUUUUGAUAAAUUGAACUAAUUUUAUUUUAUACUCUGAUAAAAAGGAGAUAAAAUUCAUUACGAAACAAAGAACAACUCUUAGCAACGGAUAUCUUGGUUCUC